AAUCUUGUGCAGUGGCAAUAUCGUAACCAAUGAAGGUCUCCUGAGGUGGGAUUAUUGCUAGUUGUAUCUUUUUAUAUUUAUCAUUCUGCAUAUUUAUAUAUACGGGGAGAGGGGGGCACCUUUGAACAGAAUUUACAUUU
rnacentral:snRNA from 1 species